AUUGAACGCUGGCGGCAGGCCUAACACAUGCAAGUCGAACGAGUGGCGGACGGGUGAGUAAUGUCUGGGAAACUGCCUGAUGGAGGGGGAUAACUACUGGAAACGGUAGCUAAUACCGCAUACCAUCGGAUGUGCCCAGAUGGGAUUAGCUAGUAGGUGGGUUAAAGGCUCACCUAGGCGACGAGCCCUAGCUGGUCUGAGAGGAUGACCAUCCACACUGUAACUUAUCUCCGUCCCAUCCUCCUACGGGAUGCAGCAGUUGGGAAUCUUGCACAAUGCGCGAAAGCCUGAUGCAGCCAUGCCGCUUGUAUGAAGCAGGCCUUCGGGUUGUAAAGUACUUUCAGCGGGGAGGCGUUACCCGCAGAAGAAGCACCGGCUAACUCCGUGCCAGCCGCCGCGGUAAUUC
rnacentral:rRNA from 1 species